AUUGAACGCUGGCGGCAGGCCUAACACAUGCAAGUCGAACGAGUGGCGGACGGGUGAGUAAUGUCUGGGAAACUGCCCGAUGGAGGGGGAUAACUACUGGAACCGGUAGCUAAUACCGCAUACCAUCGGAUGUGCCCAGAUGGGAUUAGCUAGUAGGUGGGGUAACGGGUAACCACGGCGACGAUCCCUAGCUGGUCUGAGAGGAUGACCAGCCACACUGGAACUGAGACACGGUCCAGACUCCUACGGGAGGCAGCAGUGGGGAAUAUUGCACAAUGGGCACAAGCCUGAUGCAUCCAUGCCGCGUGUAUGACGAGGGCCUUCGGGUUGUAAAGGACGUUCAGCGAGGAGGCGUUACGCGCAGAAGAAGCACCGGCUAACUCCGUGCCAGCCGCCGCGGUAAUAC
rnacentral:rRNA from 1 species